UUAAGCGACUAAGCGUACACGGUGGAUGCCCUGGCAGUCAGAGGCGAUGAAGGACGUGCUAAUCUGCGAUAAGCGUCGGUAAGGUGAUAUGAACCGUUAUAACCGGCGAUUUCCGAAUGGGGAAACCCAGUGUGAUUCGUCACACUAUCAUUAACUGAAUCCAUAGGUUAAUGAGGCGAACCGGGGGAACUGAAACAUCUAAGUACCCCGAGGAAAAGAAAUCAACCGAGAUUCCCCCAGUAGCGGCGAGCGAACGGGGAGGAGCCCAGAGCCUGAAUCAGUGUGUGUGUUAGUGGAAGCGUCUGGAAAGGCGCGCGAUACAGGGUGACAGCCCCGUACACAAAAAUGCACAUAUUGUGAGCUCGAUGAGUAGGGCGGGACACGUGGUAUCCUGUCUGAAUAUGGGGGGACCAUCCUCCAAGGCUAAAUACUCCUGACUGACCGAUAGUGAACCAGUACCGUGAGGGAAAGGCGAAAAGAACCCCGGCGAGGGGAGUGAAAAAGAACCUGAAACCGUGUACGUACAAGCAGUGGGAGCACGCUUCGGCGUGUGACUGCGUACCUUUUGUAUAAUGGGUCAGCGACUUAUAUUCUGUAGCAAGGUUAACCGAAUAGGGGAGCCGAAGGGAAACCGAGUCUUAACUGGGCGUUAAGUUGCAGGGUAUAGACCCGAAACCCGGUGAUCUAGCCAUGGGCAGGUUGAAGGUUGGGUAACACUAACUGGAGGACCGAACCGACUAAUGUUGAAAAAUUAGCGGAUGACUUGUGGCUGGGGGUGAAAGGCCAAUCAAACCGGGAGAUAGCUGGUUCUCCCCGAAAGCUAUUUAGGUAGCGCCUCGUGAAUUCAUCUCCGGGGGUAGAGCACUGUUUCGGCAAGGGGGUCAUCCCGACUUACCAACCCGAUGCAAACUGCGAAUACCGGAGAAUGUUAUCACGGGAGACACACGGCGGGUGCUAACGUCCGUCGUGAAGAGGGAAACAACCCAGACCGCCAGCUAAGGUCCCAAAGUCAUGGUUAAGUGGGAAACGAUGUGGGAAGGCCCAGACAGCCAGGAUGUUGGCUUAGAAGCAGCCAUCAUUUAAAGAAAGCGUAAUAGCUCACUGGUCGAGUCGGCCUGCGCGGAAGAUGUAACGGGGCUAAACCAUGCACCGAAGCUGCGGCAGCGACACUAUGUGUUGUUGGGUAGGGGAGCGUUCUGUAAGCCUGUGAAGGUGUGCUGUGAGGCAUGCUGGAGGUAUCAGAAGUGCGAAUGCUGACAUAAGUAACGAUAAAGCGGGUGAAAAGCCCGCUCGCCGGAAGACCAAGGGUUCCUGUCCAACGUUAAUCGGGGCAGGGUGAGUCGACCCCUAAGGCGAGGCCGAAAGGCGUAGUCGAUGGGAAACAGGUUAAUAUUCCUGUACUUGGUGUUACUGCGAAGGGGGGACGGAGAAGGCUAUGUUGGCCGGGCGACGGUUGUCCCGGUUUAAGCGUGUAGGCUGGUUUUCCAGGCAAAUCCGGAAAAUCAAGGCUGAGGCGUGAUGACGAGGCACUACGGUGCUGAAGCAACAAAUGCCCUGCUUCCAGGAAAAGCCUCUAAGCAUCAGGUAACAUCAAAUCGUACCCCAAACCGACACAGGUGGUCAGGUAGAGAAUACCAAGGCGCUUGAGAGAACUCGGGUGAAGGAACUAGGCAAAAUGGUGCCGUAACUUCGGGAGAAGGCACGCUGAUAUGUAGGUGAAGUCCCUUGCGGAUGGAGCUGAAAUCAGUCGAAGAUACCAGCUGGCUGCAACUGUUUAUUAAAAACACAGCACUGUGCAAACACGAAAGUGGACGUAUACGGUGUGACGCCUGCCCGGUGCCGGAAGGUUAAUUGAUGGGGUCAGCGCAAGCGAAGCUCUUGAUCGAAGCCCCGGUAAACGGCGGCCGUAACUAUAACGGUCCUAAGGUAGCGAAAUUCCUUGUCGGGUAAGUUCCGACCUGCACGAAUGGCGUAAUGAUGGCCAGGCUGUCUCCACCCGAGACUCAGUGAAAUUGAACUCGCUGUGAAGAUGCAGUGUACCCGCGGCAAGACGGAAAGACCCCGUGAACCUUUACUAUAGCUUGACACUGAACAUUGAGCCUUGAUGUGUAGGAUAGGUGGGAGGCUUGGAAGUGUGGACGCCAGUCUGCAUGGAGCCGACCUUGAAAUACCACCCUUUAAUGUUUGAUGUUCUAACGUUGACCCGUAAUCCGGGUUGCGGACAGUGUCUGGUGGGUAGUUUGACUGGGGCGGUCUCCUCCUAAAGAGUAACGGAGGAGCACGAAGGUUGGCUAAUCCUGGUCGGACAUCAGGAGGUUAGUGCAAUGGCAUAAGCCAGCUUGACUGCGAGCGUGACGGCGCGAGCAGGUGCGAAAGCAGGUCAUAGUGAUCCGGUGGUUCUGAAUGGAAGGGCCAUCGCUCAACGGAUAAAAGGUACUCCGGGGAUAACAGGCUGAUACCGCCCAAGAGUUCAUAUCGACGGCGGUGUUUGGCACCUCGAUGUCGGCUCAUCACAUCCUGGGGCUGAAGUAGGUCCCAAGGGUAUGGCUGUUCGCCAUUUAAAGUGGUACGCGAGCUGGGUUUAGAACGUCGUGAGACAGUUCGGUCCCUAUCUGCCGUGGGCGCUGGAGAACUGAGGGGGGCUGCUCCUAGUACGAGAGGACCGGAGUGGACGCAUCACUGGUGUUCGGGUUGUCAUGCCAAUGGCACUGCCCGGUAGCUAAAUGCGGAAGAGAUAAGUGCUGAAAGCAUCUAAGCACGAAACUUGCCCCGAGAUGAGUUCUCCCUGACCCUUUAAGGGUCCUGAAGGAACGUUGAAGACGACGACGUUGAUAGGCCGGGUGUGUAAGCGCAGCGAUGCGUUGAGCUAACCGGUACUAAUGAACCGUGAGGCUUAACCUU
rnacentral:rRNA from 1 species